UUGCUAGUCAUAAGCAAUCAGACCACUAAACAAAUCAUCUAUUUUUGGUAUGACAAUCAGCUCCAUAAAUUCAGCCUUGACAUCAUGCCUAAAGGUUGUGCUGAACCAACAUGGUCUUUAACGUAAUGUGAUUACUUUGGCCCUUGUAUGUGGGCUCUAAAAUUCAUAUAAGCACUUGCCUUUUCCUGCUAAUAGUUAGGUAGUUUCUGUUGUCUGGCACUUACAAUGAAUGAUAAAAUGAAGAGAAGAUGGUAAUUUUGUAAUCAUCAACUAGUUAAUGUUUUACCAGCUAAAGGUGGGUUUCUUUGUUUGCUUGUUUAAUUUCAUGGGAGAAGUGAAAAUUCUAGAUAAUGUGCCAUUCAUCAGUUUCUCACAAAUACACUCAUAAGUCAUAAUCAAUUGUAUGUGCCUAUGUAGACACACAUGCAAGAAAUAUGUCUUCCCAUGUCUUCUGGACAUUUAGAGCUAGUGAGGUGUUUAAGAGUAUUCGUGGAAUUUGCCUGCUUGGGGUUCUCCUUCCACUUUAACUUCAACUAUUGCUACUUCCUCGACCCGACCCCGAGAUCUUGAAUUCUUAACAGAUAGAGACUGCCCCCACUUCCCUUAAUUAGCUUGUUGAGGAACGUGCUUGACUAUAUAGGGCAGCCCAAGUUUCGGUAUUGGAGCAAGCACAUGGCAUGGAAAGCAUGACUACUUGUAGCUACAUGGUAGUGAAACCUAUGUUGGGAAAUUUAUUAGUGAUCUAGAAACCUCUUAAUAGUAUGGUGUGUGCAGUCUCUUGUGGAUUGCUACCUCUUGAUGGAGACAAAUUACAAUGAUAUAAGUUUGAGAGUUUCUCACAAAUAGACUCCUACUCAGUUCGUAUGAACAUUUAGACACGCAUGCAAGAAACAUGUUUUACCUUGACAGUGUUUUAAAAACACCGUUUCGUAACUGAUUUUCGAGAGUCUGACAUGAAUAUGGACCGAAAAAUGGAGAUUUGAAAUUCACGUGAGUAUCGGGCUAUACGGCCAUUACGUAUCGCGUGUAGGUCCGUAACUCGUAACAACUAGUACACCCCGUUAUGACACUGACAAAGCACUAAGAAAAACACUUUUUCUCCUCUUUUUUGUUCUUUUCCUAGAACUACAUGUGAUACUACAGUGCGUGAGAUUCUUCUGGCCAAAAGACAGAUUCUAGGAUCAACCCCCUAUUAUUUCAACUAGCUCAGAGAAGAAAGAGAAAAAACUACAUCUACGUUAUUGCCUUCACCAAAAGACCUCUGAUUUACAUAAAUGGCAUCGAUUCGGAGGCUAUAUGUGUGCAAUUUCUAUUAUAAUGGGGAGAAAUAGCUUUGAUUUCAACUUCUUCUUCGGCUUUGGCUUCGAUUAGGUGAAAAUCCUCAAUAUAUUGUUUCUCUUUGAUUUCUGCUUUGAUUUGCAUGUCUAGGCUGCGAUUUAGGUUUUUAUUGAUGGAUUAGGGGUUGAUUUGGAGAUUUGAUUGAAGGUUUUGGCUCUGGGUUGGUGGUUGUAUUCGACGAAGGGUGGGUUUCUUUUGUUUUCUCCCUUCUGUUGACAAUUGACAAUCGAGUAAUGGGGGUGUGGUACUGGGUGUAGGUAUUUUGGUAAUGAAUGGGAUUUUAUACGGUAUAUGUUGUGAACUAAAUAGUUUUGUACCCAUUAGAUUUGAUAUUUUUUCCUAGAAAUUGAUUUUGGAAGCUAUGUUUAAGAGUUCUUUUUAAAAAAAUUCGAAAGGAAAAAAAAGGUUUUGUAACUUUAGUUCAAGAAGUAAAGACCUAAUAAUUAUAGUAGGAAAAUGCUAAAAUUAGUCUAAGGUGGAAUAUAAACAUCAUUUUUUAGAAUUUAAACUCCAUUGCCAAGAUGAAUUACUAAUAAUUUAUUAAUGUAAACUUGCGGAGUGAUUAAAAAAUACCAUGCCCCUUGAUAAAGCAUCGGCAGAAACCAAUGAUGAUUUUGGAUGGAAAUUUGCAAAUGUGGUGCCUGGUGAUAGGCAUCGUACUUAUUGUAAGUUAUGUGGAAGGAAAAUUAGUGGUGGGAUUACUAGAUUGAAACAACAUUUGGCUUAUGUGAAAGGACAAGUUAAAGCAUGUCCUAAUGUCUCACUCACAAGAAAUGAUGAAACACCUCUCAAGUACCAAGGAAAAAAAAAAGUUGAGAAACAGAAAUAGGGAUGAAGUGGUAGCAUAAAUUAGAGCUAUUCAAUGAUAGUAUGAUGAUGAAUAUGAUUAGGAAUGCGAUGAGAUUAUUGUUUCUAGUGAUUACUCGGAUCUCGAGCUGGCAAUAUCAAGAUGACAAAGCGCAAGAGAACACAGGGUAUAGGACAAUCAAAGAUUUAGAGCACAACUUGAAGGGAGGUAUGAUGUUGGUAGUAGUAGCAGAAAGGGAAGAAGUCGGGGAAAAGAUGCAUCCGGAGGAAUGGUUAGCGAAACUAGUGUUCACGAAACUAGUACCACUUUCAAGUGGAUUGAUCCAAGCUCACAAGAAGCGAUUAGUCACAAUGGAUCGAGUUUUGAAUCGAGGUAAAAGUUCCAAGUAACAACUGAUAUCUACGAGUAGGUCUUCGAGGACUAAGUUGGGUGGGAUGGUUAGCCAAUUCCUCAUCUACGGUCGACAUUCCACCAAUGCAGUUGUUAACCCUUGGUUUAGGCGAAUGUCGGAUGUUGUCAUAGAAGUGGGACAAAAUGUUGAACUCCCUAUGAGGUGCCUGAAGUCUACGUACCUAAAAGAGUUUUAGGCGAUCAAGAAAUGGAUUGAAUUCCACAAGCCUAUUUGGGAGGAGUGGGGCAUGACUAUAAUGUGUGAUGGGUGGACAGGGCCUACUAGGAAACAAUUAAUCAAUUUCCUAGUUUAUGGUUAUCGGGGAACAAUUUCCCAAAAAUCUAUAAAUGCCUUUGAUGUAGCUAGCAGGACUUCGGAAUAUUUUUUGGGUCUACUUGACAAGGUUGUCGAUGAAAUAAAAGAAAAGUAUGUGGUCAAAGUAGUGACGAAUAAAGAACCCGCUCUGAAGGUUGCAGUACAAAAGUUAUGGAGAAAAGAUCGCAUUUGUAUUCGACGGCGAGUUCAACGCAUUGCAUGGAUCUUAUUUUUAGGAUAUUGGAAAGAAAAAAGGUGUGGCAAGAGUGUUGGAUGAGGUGAAAAAAUCACAAGCUUCAUCUAUCAAUCCAAUUGGCUUGUUAAUUUAUUGAAAAAAAUUCACCAAUGGUAGAGAAUUGUUACGUCUCUUCGUCACAUGUUUUACUAAUUACUUUUAUCACGCGACGGUAGAAAGUCUUGUUAGGCAUAUGAAGGGCUUGGAAGAGAUGUUUCGUAGUAGCGAGUGGAGAAACUCCAAAUGGGACAAGAUGAAAAGUGGAAUGGACAACGAAGUGAAGAAGAUAAUAUACGAGACAUCUUUUUGGAAUAAAGCAUGUGAGAUUUCGAAGGUUCAAGAACCCCUUAUAAAAGUCCUUUGAUAGAUGAAGUUCGACAUAUGAAGGCUGAAGCUAUGGAUCGAGUCAAACUAGCUAUUGAAAAAGAAUGUGAUAUAACAAGGAAUACUGGAAGAUCGUUAACAAAAGGUGGAAUUUGUAUCAGUCAAUGUGUAACGGGAAUCGAACAUCUUUUUCAAAUGCUAUAAAAUUCAUUUAUACACAUGAUUUAACCUUAUUUAUGACAAAAUUGAAUGUUUCUAGAGAUUUCAACCAAUAUUUGACUUUUAGAAGUAGUUUGUAAGUCGUAAGAUUGGAUCAAAUGUCGCGUUUUAAGACAAUAAAGGUUGAUAUUUCAAUAGGGUGUGGAUUCUCACCAUCUAGCGAACUAGGAUUGGUAGGAUGGAUGACAAGAGUGUCUAGCCUAGCGUGAUAAAGUUAGUAGCAAAACGUGUGAUGACAGGAUGUAAAAAUCAUCUACCGUUGGGAAUUUUUUCCUUAAUUUAACAAGCCAAUUAGAUUUAUUGAUGAAGCUUGUGAUUUUUUCUCAUCAUCCAACACCCUUGCCACACAUUUUACUUUCCAAUAUCCUCUAAAACAAAAUCCACGCAAUGCGCUGAACAAGCUGUCCAAUACAAAUGUGGCCUUUUCUCCGUAAGUUUCUUCUCUGCAAG